CGGACCUCAGAUCAGGCAAGAUCACCCGCUGAGUUUAAGCAUAUCACUAAGCGGAGGAAAAGAAACUAACAAGGAUUUCC
rnacentral:rRNA from 1 species